rnacentral:rRNA from 1 species
CUGGCUCAGGAUGAACGCUAGCUACAGGCUUAACACAUGCAAGUCGAGGGGCAGCAUGGAACUUAGCUUGCUAAGUUCUGAUGGCGACCGGCGCACGGGUGAGUAACACGUAUCCAACCUACCGUUUACUACGGGAUAGCCUUCUGAAAAGGAGAUUAAUACCGUAUGGCAUUCUAAGGUUUCAUGACAUUAGAAUUAAAGGUUUACCGGUAAUCGAUGGGGAUGCGUUCCAUUAGAUAGUAGGCGGGGUAACGGCCCACCUAGUCAACGAUGGAUAGGGGUUCUGAGAGGAAGGUCCCCCACAUUGGAACUGAGACACGGUCCAAACUCCUACGGGAGGCAGCAGUGAGGAAUAUUGGUCAAUGGACGAGAGUCUGAACCAGCCAAGUAGCGUAGAAGGAUGACUGCCCUAUGGGUUGUAAACUUCUUUUAUAAAGGAAUAAAGUGGUCCACGUGUGGAUUUUUGUAUGUACUUUAUGAAUAAGGAUCGGCUAACUCCGUGCCAGCAGCGGC